GCCAGGCUGGCUCAGUCAGGGGAGCAUGUGACUCUUGAUCUCGGGGUUGUGGGUUCAAGCCCCAUGUUAGGUG
rnacentral:tRNA from 1 species